rnacentral:rRNA from 1 species
AUUGAACGCUGGCGGCGUGCUUAACACAUGCAAGUCGAGCGGCAGCGCGGGAGCAAUCCUGGCGGCGAGCGGCGAACGGGUGAGUAAUGCUUCGGAAUCUGCCCUUCAGUGGGGAAUAACCAGUCGAAAGACUGGCUAAUACCGCAUACGAACUGAGGUUGAAAGCAGGGGAUCGCAAGACCUUGCGCUGAUGGAUGAGCCGAAGUCGGAUUAGCUUGUUGGUGGGGUAAUGGCCUACCAAGGCGACGAUCCGUAGCUGGUCUGAGAGGACGACCAGCCACACUGGAACUGAGACACGGUCCGGACUCCUACGGGAGGCAGCAGUGGGGAAUAUUGCGCAAUGGGCGAAAGCCUGACGCAGCCAUACCGCGUGUGUGAAGAAGGGCCUUC